rnacentral:rRNA from 8 species
GCUUAGCCCUAAACCUAGAUAUUACUUUACAAAAAUAUCCGCCAGGGAACUACGAGCACAGCUUAAAACCCAAAGGACUUGGCGGUGCCUCAGAUCCACCUAGAGGAGCCUGUUCUAGAACCGAUAACCCCCGUUAAACCUUACCAUCCCUUGUUUAUACCGCCUAUAUACCGCCGUCGUCAGCUUACCCUGUGAAGGAUUAACAGUAAGCAAAAUGGGCAAACCCCAAAACGUCAGGUCGAGGUGUAGCGUACGAGAUGGAAAGAAAUGGGCUACAUUUUCUAACACAGAAUACCACGAACGGCGCCCUGAAACGAGCGCCCGAAGGCGGAUUUAGCAGUAAAAAGCAAGCAGAGUGUCCUUUUGAAUUAGGCUCUGAGGCGCGC